rnacentral:lncRNA from 1 species
GUUGUAAAAGGCACGUGCAGGGGAUUUUCGUUCUGCAAAAAAGAAUAACUUAUUUUUUUUAAUUAUUAGAGAAACAGAUUCUUAUAUGGUUAUCGGAUUUAUCCAAUCCCGAGGCUCGAGCUUUAACAUUGAUAAUUUAACUAUCUCGAUUGGAUAAAUCCGAUAAUCCACUGGUAUCAAUGUAAUAUCUUUAUAUACAAAGUAUAAUUGAAAAACAUAUAUAUAUGUAACAUGUUAUUGGGGAGAAAGAAUAUUGUGUAUGAACACAAAACGACUUAGGUAGAUUCAUGGUAUACCGCCAUCUGGGAUUGUACAAUCGCAUUAUAAUACCGGUCUAGUUAUUUCCUCAAAUCAGCAAUUUUGGACACAGAGUUGCAAUGUAUUGGUAAGUUUGUUUGUUUAUAUAAGGGAAACUUGGAAAGGUAUUGUAAUAAACAAAAUACCUAAACAAAUAUCGAAUUUAGUGUGUUUAGAAUCAGUUUUUUU